AGUGAACGCUGGCGGUAGGCCUAACACACGCAAGUCGAACGGCAGCACAGUAAGAGCUUGCUCUUACGGGUGGCGAGUGGCGGACGGGUGAGGAAUACAUCGGAAUCUACUUUUUCGUGGGGGAUAACGUAGGGAAACUUACGCUAAUACCGCAUACGACCUACGGGUGAAAGCAGGGGAUCUUCGGACCUUGCGCGAUUGAAUGAGCCGAUGUCGGAUUAGCUAGUUGGCGGGGUAAAGGCCCACCAAGGCGACGAUCCGUAGCUGGUCUGAGAGGAUGAUCAGCCACACUGGAACUGAGACACGGUCCAGACUCCUACGGGAGGCAGCAGUGGGGAAUAUUGGACAAUGGGCGCAAGCCUGAUCCAGCCAUACCGCGUGGGUGAAGAAGGCCUUCGGGUUGUAAAGCCCUUUUGUUGGGAAAGAAAAGCAGCAGGUUAAUACCCCGCUGUUCUGACGGUACCCAAAGAAUAAGUACCGGCUAACUUCGUG
rnacentral:rRNA from 1 species